GGCGUGGCUUCCGGAGCUAACGCGUUAAAUCGACCGCCUGGGGAGUACGGCCGCAAGGUUAAAACUCAAAUGAAUUGACGGGGGCCCGCACAAGCGGUGGAGCAUGUGGUUUAAUUCGAUGCAACGCGAAGAACCUUACCUGGUCUUGACAUCCACAGAACUUUCCAGAGAUGGAUUGGUGCCUUCGGGAACUGUGAGACAGGUGCUGCAUGGCUGUCGUCAGCUCGUGUUGUGAAAUGUUGGGUUAAGUCCCGCAACGAGCGCAACCCUUAUCCUUUGUUGCCAGCGGUCAGGCCGGGAACUCAAAGGAGACUGCCAGUGAUAAACUGGAGGAAGGUGGGGAUGACGUCAAGUCAUCAUGGCCCUUACGACCAGGGCUACACACGUGCUACAAUGGCGCAUACAAAGAGAAGCGACCUCGCGAGAGCAAGCGGACCUCAUAAAGUGCGUCGUAGUCCGGAUUGGAGUCUGCAACUCGACUCCAUGAAGNNGGAAUCGCUAGUAAUCGUAGAUCAGAAUGCUACGGUGAAUACGUUCCCGGGCCUUGUACACACCGCCCGUCACACCAUGGGAGUGGGUUGCAAAAGAAGUAGGUAGCUUAACCUUCGGGAGGGCGCUUACCACUUUGUGAUUCAUGACUGGGG
rnacentral:rRNA from 1 species